AAUCCAUUCAUUUUACCACAUGUUUCUACUUUGUUCAUUCCAAAUUUCUUUCCCUGGCAGAAUGCGCACACCGUAGUCCCUCUUUUUCUCUUAUUCACGUCUUCUUUUCCUCACCACUCUCUUUACUCUCAUUUUCAAUUGGUUUCUGCAGCAAUUUAUAAUCCUUGUUCCUUUCAUCUUGUUCUCAUCACCAAUCUCAUCUCGUUCAUUUUCUUUGUGGCAGCGCCCACACACAACUGUGCCUUUUUCCUUCAUGAUCAAGCCACCACCUUGGUUCUCUCUUCACCCACGCAAGGCACAAACCACGACCACCUCUAAGGCAUUUUCAUGGGUAAGAAGGACGGAAGCGCUUGACGACGAAGCCAAAGAACAAACGGAAGUGAGCCAACACGGGAAAGCAAAGAUAUGACUGGAUUUGAUUUGAGUCGCAACUUAGUAAGGAAAGCGUCGAAGCGCCCACACACAACUGUGCCUUUUUCCUUCAUGAUCAAGCCACCACCUUGGUUCUCUCUUCACCCACGCAAGGCACAAACCACCACCACCUCUAAGGCAUUUUCAUGGGUAAGAAGGACGGAAGCGCUUGACGACGAAGCCAAAGAACAAACGGAAGUGAGCCAACACGGGAAAGCAAAGAUAUGACUGGAUUUGAUUUGAGUCGCAACUUAGUAAGGAAAGCGUCGAAGAUGUCGAUGGUCGACUGGUUCUCGACCGUCUCUCCCUCGGGGGGGAUCAGAUAUGAGCUGCUGGAUCGGGAUGCCCCCACCGCUUGGGUGAUCGAUGUAGCGGGUCACCGGGCGACGUAUCGGGGAAGGGUCAUGGAGGACCGGACUGACGAGCGUGGACGUCUGACGAAAGGAGUUCUAUGGCGCAUAGAGUUGAGCUUCAACUUGCCGACUUCAGAUCGUUGUGGGUUUGGCACUGGGAGGUUAGGUUUGGGCAGGCGUCAUGUUUUGUGUAGAGCUCUGAUUCGUUUUGCUUUUGGGAUCGGGUAGGUUCCGACGCAUGACUUUUCGUGUGGUUCUCUUACUGAGGGAUCACAGUGAGUCAGUUGGACCAUAGGGGUCUUUGCUUAGGCCAUAUUGAGGCCGACUUUCUCCUAGUGGUUUGUAAUUUUAAUUUUCUCACUUACACUUCUGGGUCUGUAGAUAUUUGCCUACGGGCACACUGCUUUGGAGUCACUGCGAGUGCGCGUGACGUGGGAGUGCAGCUGAGGCUGUACAUGUUUAUAUUUGAUGUAUGUUGGUUAGUUUAGUAGUUGGGUUUUGUCUUUACUUCCUUAUCGUUUUGAUUUAAAGGAAAGAAAACGGAAAAAAAAAAAUUACCUGUUUUCCGCGUAAA